GGAAAGAGUUUACGAACUACAAGAAAUUUGAGCGUGUCUUUUAGCUUCUGUGGAGUAAAGAAACACGUUAUUUCGACCCUACUACUUUGGAUAUUGUCUUUUCUGUCCAGGUUGGCGAGUGUUCUUAUGCUGGAUGAAGUGCUUCGGAUACUUUGUCGAGGAUUCAUGCUUUUCACCUAGUUACCGCCAUUACUCAGGAAUAAGAUAAUAUCAAGAAAAUUAAUGGAACAACUCGAAAUCAAGAAAGUCAAGGAAGAAAAGAAAUACAUGACAACUUCUAACAAGACUGGUGGGUGAACAUCUCUGAUGCUUUAAGAGCGAAUCGAACAAGAAAGUAUAUAUAUGAUUCAAGUGAAAUAACGAUUCAUUCAAACACAUGUACAAAACACAUGUAGCGCAUUUCUUUCAACAAUAUUUCGAGUCAGAGCUGCUCCAAGAUUCAAACGCCAUAAUCGAGGAGUAAAAGUUAUAAUUUCUUGAUUUUUGUCGGUUUUGAUUAUAAGGGCUGUUUGAGAUGGAAAAAUUUCCCGCCAAAAAACUUAGAAAAAUACGGGCGGUUUAAGGACGCAUGCGCCAGCUUUUUCUUUAUUUAUUCUGUAAGUAGCAUCUGUUUAAAUGUGGCGAAUUUUCCCGCCAAAAGACUUAAAAAUACGGUGCUCAAAAUACGCAUGCGCCGUGUUUUUUUUUUUUUUAAUGUUAGUUUUCAAAUAAACUGAAUAUUUACUUGUUGUCACUUUGUACUAUUGGUAAACAAGUCAGUUAAGUAAAGUGAUCAGUUUUCGUCUCAACUUUUAUUUUCA